rnacentral:misc_RNA from 1 species
GUUCUUCCACCAUUGAGCCUCU